UAAUCGGAAUGAGUACACUUUAAAUCCUUUAACGAGUAUCCAUUGGAGGGCAAGUCUGGUGCCAGCAGCCGCGGUAAUUCCAGCUCCAAUAGCGUAUAUUAAAGUUGUUGCGGUUAAAAAGCUCGUAGUUGAAUCUGUGUGCCACGCUGUCGGUUCAUCGCUCGCGAUGUUUAACUAACAUGAUUGUGGUACGUCCUACCGGUGGGCUUAGCCUCUCGGGGCGGUCCAGCUUAAUAUCCCUCCGCGGUGCUCUUCAACGAGUGUCGCAGUGGGCCGGUACGUUUACUUUGAACAAAUUAGAGUGCUCAAAGCAGGCUAUGUUCGCCUGAAUACUGUGUGCAUGGAAUAAUGGAAUAGGACCUCGGUUCUAUUUUGUUGGUUUUCGGAACCCCGAGGUAAUGAUUAAUAGGGACAGAUGGGGGCAUUCGUAUUGCGACGUUAGAGGUGAAAUUCUUGGAUCGUCGCAAGACGGACAGAAGCGAAAGCAUUUGCCAAAAAUGUUUUCAUUAAUCAAGAACGAAAGUUAGAGGUUCGAAGGCGAUCAGAUACCGCCCUAGUUCUAACCAUAAACGAUGCCAGCUAGCGAUCCGCCGAAGUUCCUCCGAUGACUCGGCGGGCAGCUUCCGGGAAACCAAAGCUUUUGGGUUCCGGGGGAAGUAUGGUUGCAAAGCUGAAACUUAAAGGAAUUGACGGAAGGGCACCACCAGGAGUGGAGCCUGCGGCUUAAUUUGACUCAACACGGGAAACC
rnacentral:rRNA from 1 species